rnacentral:rRNA from 1 species
UACGUAGGGUGCGAGCGUUAAUCGGAAUUACUGGGCGUAAAGCGUGCGCAGGCGGUUCGUUGUGUCGGCGGUGAAAUCCCCGGGCUCAACCUGGGAAUGGCCGUUGAAACUGGCGAACUGGAGUGUGGCAGAGGGGGGUGGAAUUCCGCGUGGUAGCAGUGAAAUGCGUAGAGAUGCGGAGGAACACCGAUGGCGAAGGCAGCCCCCUGGGCUGACACUGACGCUCAGGCACGAAAGCGUGGGGAGCAAACAGG